AUAUGAUGAUGACGAUGAUGAUGAUAAUGUUGAUGAUGAUGAUGAUGAUCACCACCACCGCCACCACCAUCAUUGUCGUUGUCGUCGUCGUCGUCGUCAUCAUCAUCAUCAUCAUCAUCAUCAUUA
rnacentral:pre_miRNA from 1 species